CACGUAGGGCGCAAGCGUUGUCCGGAAUUAUUGGGCGUAAAGAGCGUGUAGGCGGCCAGGUAGGUCUGCUGUGAAAACUCGAGGCUCAACCUCGAGACGUCGGCGGAAACCAUCUGGCUAGAGUCCGGAAGAGGAGAGUGGAAUUCCUGGUGUAGCGGUGAAAUGCGCAGAUAUCAGGAAGAACACCAAUAGCGAAGGCAGCUCGCUGGGACGGUACUGACGCUGAGACGCGAAAGCGUGGGGAGCAAACAGG
rnacentral:rRNA from 1 species